UGGCAGAGGGCAGCAUGUAUGCCUGCGGACUUUUAAUCCGUAGGUUCAGGGUUCGAACCCCUGGCGGCCCACUA
rnacentral:tRNA from 1 species